ACUAGCGCGGCGGCCGCCGGCCCGCAAUGGUGCUACCCUGGUUGCUGCUCGAGACUGCGCGCAGGGCGGUCCUCGGGUCCGCGGAGGCUGCGCUCUGCGCACCAACUUUUAUCUGUGGAUGCAGCUACAGGGACCCAGCAUUAACACAGCUUACCCCCAGCCCCACCUACCUAUUUUAACUGUUGCCAUGAAAAUGACAGAUGAAAAUAGAAAAGUGUGGCUGGUCUGAAGGUUUGACGUCAAUAAAGGGAAACUGCCACAAUUUUUAUACUGCUAUUUCUAAAGAUGUCACUUAUAAGGAACUUAAAAACCUGUUGAAUUCUAAAAAUAUUAUGUUAAUUGAUGUUAGAGAGAUAUGGGAAAUUCUGGAGUAUCAAAAAAUCCCUGAGUCUAUCAAUGUACCAUUGGAUGAAGUAGGUGAAGCUCUACAGAUGAAUCCAAGAGACUUCAAAGAGAAGUACAAUGAAGUAAAACCAUCCAAAUCUGACAGCUAGUGUUUUCUUAUUUAGCCGGAGUGAGAAGCAAGAAGGCCCUGGACACAGCAAUAUCUCUGGGCUUUCACAGAUCCCAGUAUUCCUACCCACUGGGUAGGACACCACUCAAAAUCCUUUCAAAUCCAGUCCUUUCAGGGAACUGCCAGUAAUACAGAAGUGUAAGUAUAACCUAUUUGUCAGCCCUGAUGUAAGAAGGCCAAGAAACAUCAACAUUUAAGGAAUAAUUGAACAACUGAACAAAGACAAACCAAUGGAAAAUAAGAGGGGAAAAUCAAGAGGAUGGAGUUAUAAAAAUCAAUAGAAGGGGCUGGGGUGCAGUGGCUCACGCCUGUAAUCCCAGCACUCUGAGAGGCCAAGGAGGGUGGAUCACCUGAGGUCAGGAGUUCAAGACCAGCCUGGCCAACAUGGCGAAACCCUGUCUCUACUAAAAAUACAAAAAUUAGCCAGGUAUGGUGGUGGACACCUAUAAUCCUCCUGUAGGCAGGAGAAUCGCUUGAACCCAGGAGGCAGAGGUUGCAGUGAGCCAAGAUCACACCACUGCACUCCAGCCUGGGAGACAGAGUGAGACUCCAUCUCAAAAAAAAAAAAAAAAAAAAAUCAAUAGAAGGAAAAGGAACAAAAAUUAACAAGUGCCCAAUAUAUAACAGGCAUUAUUUGGUGCUCUACAACCUAUCUCAUUUAAUUCUUCAAACGGCUCAGUGGAAUUAUUAGUAUUCUCUCCAUUUUACAAUUAAGGAAACAAACACGGAAAGGUCAGAUAAUUUUCCCACAAUUGUAAAGGAGGUAAAGUUUAAGCCUAGGACUAUCUGACUCCACCCAUUACAGCACUGCUUUCCACAGACUGUAGAAUGAAUGUACUUAACGUCUUCCUCCAGCCAAGCAUUAUGGACCACAGAUGCUCCUUUACUCAACCUCUGAGUAUUUGUUUGGGCUCAGGAUAUGAAAGCCCCAAUUAUUUUACAUGCUACAACUAAUAUUAGCUGGCUUAAUUCUGAACUUUUCCCUCUAAACAAACAAAUAUGUUCUAUUCAGACACCGAUUAAAACUAUUUUGAAUGGUUUCAAAAAAAAAAAAAAAAAACUUACCAAAAAGGGGGUGGGGGAAUAAUAAUCCUGAUUUAUGACAGUUGCAGUUCAUAUUAUUGAAAGCUCACAUGCAAGGAUUAGUCUAUUACUUCAUGGAACAUAAAAACAUAAAGUACAAUAGGGUGAAAUUUAGUUUAGGAUGACCUAAAUAAGUUUAUAACAAUUUAACUCAUAAAGGCACACCAUGCUUACAUACCUAAAGCUAUCAUGAAAGGAGGAUACAGUAGGCAAAGAUCCGUUCUGUAGGUAUCAUUCACUAUCCUCCUAUAGAAAUGUAAAUCAUAUUAUUACUGAAAGCAGAACUACCUCAUCUGAUUGUAUAUUUCCUCCAGAGAGGGCCAGAUUUCCCAUCUUUGCACACAUUUAUUUCCUUUUAUACUACUGAAGCACAGCUAUAAAAGUGAAAACAUCAAGGCAAAAGGAUGGAUACAUGAAUGUGACAACAAAUAAGCACAUAUCAAUGAAUAAAAUUACAGCUAAAUAUAUUUUAAAUUUCAAAAUCUCAUAACAAAUUAUAAACACAUUUUUCUAAUUUUUUAAAAAUCAGAAAAAUCAAAUUAAAAAACCAGAAAUUAUACAGUAAAUUUAUAUGUAUGUUGCAGACUACCAAAAAGUAUUCUGAUUACUUUAAAGAUAACUUCAGUCUUAAUUUUUAUGUUAACAGUCUGUGUUUUGUAUAAAAUUAAAUUUUAAUAGGUAUAUUUAUGGAACAGAUAAUUUAGGAUUGUUUUCAUUUUGGCAUUUACACCACUAUAGUUAUUAAAAUUCAACAAGUGGUAUUUUGCUCAACAUAAAAUAUCUUGGGGCAAUAGUUUAAUGACUUUAAAAAUACUUAACUUCAUAUUUAAUUGUCAACCUUCCUAUCUAAUAACAUGUUACACUAUUAAUAACUUCUGUUCUAAUUACCAUGCAAGGGGAAGCAACAUGUCUUCUUGGCCCAUGUCCUGCACAUACUGGAGCAAAGGUCUAUAAGGAUGAUACACUAUCAAGCAACAAUCCUAGAAACAGUUUAAAAAAUGUGUAUGUAUAAAAAACAGAUUUAUUACAACACAAAAAUGUUAUCAUUACCCAACUGAUUUGUAAUUGUGUAUUUCAAAGUGAAUUUCACUAACUCAUGCUUGCUUCCCUUUUAUUCUCUUAAGCUAGCAGUAUGACAGCCCUAAACUCUACCGUAAUAGUGAAGGCAGUGCUCUCUCUGGAAUAUACCUUGAUAAAUCGGUUGGCAGUCAGUCAGCAUCCAUUCAUUCCCUUAGAGACUCAAAGUGUCACAUCUGCAACACACUGAAACCUCUUAUUAGCCUAUAAAUUCAUAAUUCCCAACUGGAGGAGCAGAAUUCUGCCAAAGACAUAAUCUAUCUUUAAAUAACACUGCACGCACACACAAAUUGUGCACAUAAUUUAUGGUGGUUUAAUGUCCUGACUUGUCUGUUUGUAAUCCUUUCAUUAUAGUUACUUACUAUAGAACAGAAAAAUUUUCCCAUCCUAAGUAGGAUAUACAAAUUAUUUUACAGGCUUCAGAGAGACUCUAGGUGCUAAUAUAAAUAGGCUACCAUGAUUUCACCAUCACAUAUUAGGUGGAUGGUUUUAAAAUGUACCUCUCUAAAAUCAUUUCUUUAAAUAAUUUCCAACUUCAUUUAAUUUAAAAAUGUUUUAAUCUAUUAAUCACAGAAGAUUUACUUACCAUUAGUUCUAACAGAUAGAAUUCACAUUCUAAUAUCUGUUUAAAACAAAGAUUAUCAAUGAAAUGUCAAUAUGAAACCAAAUUAGAUAAGUCCACUUAAUCUAACAUAAAUUACAGACAUUAUAGUAAUUUAUCAAAAAUUUUUACUAAAAAGUUUUAAAAAUCCAGACAAUAAACAUAGUUUAUAUUAAAAUAAAUAUCUGCAAUAAAAAAUUACUAUUAGAAAUGCAAUUAUGAUUAUAAGGAUUUUAAUCCUUGUAAGGAAAAGCCAGCUUCUCACAAUCAUUCUUAUUACUCACUUUUAUUUAAAAUAUCCUGUAAAACCAUCAGAUUUUCCAGUAUACUUUCUACUCAGCAAAUGCAAAAAUACAAUUAUUUCUACUUAAUUUAAAAAAUGUAACUUAAAGAGAAUAAACAAAUCCCUUGCAAGGUGGAAAAAGGACAUACCUAUUAAAAUGUCAAUAGAAAUUCACCUUAUAUUUCAUAUUGUUCCAUUAGUUUUUAAUCCCAGCUAAAUAGUAGUAUCACCUGGGACCUUUUACACAGUACCAAUGUUGGGAGCCCCAAGGCUGAAAAUUCUGAUUUUGUUGUUCUGGAAAGGAUCCAACAUCAGUAUUAUUUACAAGUUCCCAAGGUGAUUUAAUGAGCAGCCAGGGUUGAUAAUCGCCACUAUGAAGUAUUUUUUUUAAAUGGUAAAAGCUAUUUAGCUUUAAUUUAGAAUAAUGUCUGUAUUUAUGUAAUAUUUGAAACUGCCAUUUCUAGGAAACUAUUAAAUUUAGUCUAAUAUAAAAUAGAGCUAGUUUAUAUAUAGCUUUGAUAAUUGUUCCAUUUUAUAUCAUAUACUUACAUGAUUCAUCCUAUAAGGAAAUUCCUUUGGAAAGGCAUAUGAAAAUCUAGUUUUUACUGCAGAAAAUAAAAAAAAAAUUUAAACUGAGAAAAUGGGAAAUAAAUUAACUCAAAAUUCCUUUAACAGAGCAGAAUAUUAGAGGGUAGAGCAAAAUUAUUUUCAGUAGGAAUUCUUGGCAACACUUACGGACGCAGAUUUUUAUUUACUUUCAGGGAAGGGGAAAGACUGGGGGGCAGGACACUCUACACAGCUUCAAUUUUAUAUUUACUACCUUAAGAAAGGAUUCUGAUGUUUAAAAAAGAAAAAGAUCAGGAAAAAAAAAUCACUGGCUUUUAUCAUUUCUAAAAUCUUUUCAGCUACAGAAUGGUAUUCUUCUGUUUUCCAGUGACUGAGCUUAGAAGGAACACAGGGGUUACAUAUGUGUUUACAAUAUAUACAAUUGGUAAAAAAUAUACAUAUAAAAUAUUGGGAGGAUAGUACACCAAAAAAAUGUUAACAGUGGUUAUUUGUGAGAUUUAAGAACUUUUUACUAAUCUGCACUUUCUAAACUUUUUACAAUGACCAGGUAUUUAUCAAAAUAUAUAUUUUAAUAAAAGCAUUAAUAUAUAUGCAAAGGUCUCGAGUUACUCAUAAAGUAGUAGUAGUAACACAUAAAGUUAGUACUCUAUUAUCUAUUACUUUAUUGGUUAGUCACUAAAUAAAGUACAAAUGAAAAAAAAAUGUUAACCAUCAAUCCCCCAUCUCCUUAAAAUGGUGUGAGCAUAUACACAUAAGUACUAUUUGAGAAACUGUAUUCAAGCCAUUAUGACACAUUUAAUUCAACCAAGUAACUACUGACAGGUCCUAAAAAAUGUUUAGUGUCAGCUUCCAUUUGUACAAAGCCCAAGUGAUUUCACUGAAAUUAAAAGAAAUUCCAUUUCUGGCCAGGCACAGUGGCUCAUGCCUGUAAUCCCAGCACUUUGGGAGGCCAAGGUGGGUGGAUCACCUGAGGUCAGGAGUUCGAGACCUCCUGGACAACAUGGUGAAACCCCAUCUCUACUAAAAAUACAAAAAUUAGGCGAGUGUAGUGGCAUGCACCUGUAGUCCCGGCUACUCGGGAGGCCGAGGCAGGAGAAUCCCUUGAACCCGGGAGGCAGAGGGUGCAGUGAGCUGAGAACACACCACUGCACUCCAGUCUGGGUGACAGUGAGACUCCAUCUCAAAAAAAAAAAAAGAAAGAAAUUCCAUUUCUUCUAUGCACUAUGUUUUCAAAAAGAUUUGUUUUGCAAAUUCAGUGCCCUACAGCUAAUUUAGAUGUGUAAUAUCUGCCAGGAUUUGAAACCUAGAAUAAUUUAAACUUGACAUUAGUAAAUUUAUAAUCUUUCCUUUCUUCUCUCCUUUAUUUAAAUUUAAGACGUACCUAUUAAGGUUUCUGAGUUUUACAAAUCCUUGUGAUGUAAAGUAUACCAGCACAACAGGUUCUUAUAUAAUGGUAGACAAUCAACAAAGUAAAAUUAUCUCUGUAUAUAAAACAAAUCUACAUCCCCAUCCCCUGGACCUUGACACCUAACACCUCUAUUGAGAAUAUAUUUACCUGAUACUGUCACAUGUCUGUUACUCCAUGCUAAAACUGCUCUGCAUUUUUUUCUGUCUUUUAAUCCUUUUCCUCCAACUUGGAGAAAAAUACAUCCCUCCUCUCUAUUGUUUGUCUUACCACUUAUACACUUAUUAUCAUCUAUUCAAUUGAUAACUCCUGCUAUUUUUUUCAUCUUUAACCUUCCUCCUUCAGUAAAUCUUCCAUCACAUACUAAUAUGCUCAAAUUUCCCUUGAAAAAAGCAAAACAAACUCUACCUAAUUAUAUUCCUCUGCCUUUUAUUUUUGUAGACUCAAACACUGAGAUCAUGCACAGUUCUCUUAUACCCACCGUUAUUGACUUCCCAGCCUCCAGAACUGUGAGAAAUAAAUGUCUGUUGUGAAAGCCA